rfam:Rattus norvegicus chromosome 2, whole genome shotgun sequence.
GGGGAUUUAGCUCAGUGGUAGAGCGCUUGCCUAGCAAGCGCAAGGCCCUGGGUUCGGUCCCCAGCUCCCA